rnacentral:lncRNA from 1 species
AGCCAAUUUAAAACUUUUUAAAACAUUUAAAACCACUAAGUCAUUACAAUUUGUUUUCAAAAUAGUUUAGACAUCAGAAUAUCCCCAGAAUCAAUCAUGAAAAUAUAAGGAGGUGCACGAUCACGCCUUCGCCUUCCUGCGAUCAUCAGAAAUACCUGAAAUAAAAUCAACAAAUGUAAGCCCGAAGCUUAGUGAGUUUCCCCAAAAUACCAAUGCCAUACAAACAUAACCAUAUCAUAUUACUAAUACAAAACAGAAUGCAUAAUGAGUCAUCAGCCUGACUGGAACGUCUGGACCGCCACACAGGGCCUACAGCCUAUCCGGACCGCUCGUCGGGUAUGUUGGCCUACAGCACAAAGCAGGACCGCCUCAACCCAACCCCCAAUCAAAUAAACAUGUGCACAUAAAUAUCAUACGUUAGCUCAUUUCAUAUAAUAGUCAAACCGAUCUAACAGAUCACCAAUCAUAGCAACAUCCCAAUAACCGGGAUACAGACCUAACCGAUCACUAACAUAGCAUCAUCCUAUAACCAGGACAAUCAUGUGCACAUAGACAUCAUAUAACACUGACAUGUAUAUAUAUAACAGUCAAACCGAUCUAACAGAUCACAAAGCAUAGCAACAAUCCUAUAACCAGGAUAUUGACCUAAUAAGUCACUAACAUAGCAUCAUCCUAUAUACCAGGAUACCGACCCAACCGGGUCACUAAAGCAUAGCAUAUCACCAUCCUAACUACCAGGAUAUAAAUCAGUAAGCAUAACAUGCAAUAAUCCGAAUACAAUCCAUAAAGGGUCGGCCUUGGUGCCUUAGACCCUAUUGAUAUAAUGAGGAGAACUCACCUGACACUGCUGAAGUCCCGCCAAUAAAACUCCAACUGCUGGUUAACAGAUUCCCGAACUAACAACAUCAAACAACACCCAAUUAAUAAUUGGAUUCCAAGCCCAAAGUCCAACUCACACACAAAAGGCUCAAUAGUCAAGUAAUGGGCCACAACCGAACAUAUGACCCAAUUUUCCAAAUUGGGCCCACACCCUCAUAUGGGAAUUACCCUAAGCCCAUUAACAUAUUCUAGUCCCUAUGAUUAUUCUUGGAUGGCCCAUUAAUAAUCCAAUUACCAAAGCCCAAUAGAAAGGCCCAAAAAAAUUAGGGUUUCAUAUAAGGUGACAAUUAGGGUUAAGUGUUUCUCACUUAACCCAUUAAGGACUUAAUCCAUUAAGUCCCUUACUUUACUAAAUAAGUCAUAUGUUAUGAUUGGGCUUAAUACACGAUUCCAUUCCAAUGGCCCAAAUGUGGGUCUCGAUAAGUCCAAGCCCAUAAUCCCAAAAUUAGGGUUUUCACAUGAAAUGAUGAUUAGGGAUAAAUGUUUCUUACUUAACCCAUUAAGGACUUAAUCCAUUAAGUCCAUUAUUGCAUUAAGUUAGUGUGGCAAUGAUUAUCAUUUAAUAUUUCAAGUUAUUAAAUAAUCUCGUGUGUCCCGAUAAAUUCUCAAAAUUAGGGUUUUAUGCCAUUAGGGUUUUCCAAACCCUAAUUAAGGUUUUCCAACCCAAUACUAGCCCAUUAGUCCAUUGGUUGGGCUUUUAGGUCACAUUGGGCCUUAUUGGGCCCAUUAGGGUUUCAUUGAUCCCACAUUGUCCAAACAUCCCCAAACAAGGUCCAAACGCAAUCAAAGCACACCGCCACCCGACAUGGCGGCCGGUGGCGGCAGCCACCACCCUACGAUGGUUGUUUAAGCUUUUCUUUCAUUAUUCCACUUGUUACAAUUUACAAUACCAUCCGAUUAACACACACACACACAAACACACACGCGCACACACACACUCAACCACAUUGAGGUGGCUGGCGGCGGCAGAUGGUGGCAGCCAACUCUUGCGUAUACACAUAUCCCUUGGCUACCUGUUCGUUAGCUCUUAUUCUUUGCCUUUGUCGGACCAACAUCAACCAAUACCACGAGAAUNCAAACACAAGCUAGACACUAGAACACACCCAUCAUCAAUCUGGAGGCGGCGGGCGGUGAUUUGCGACGGCAGCGACAACACAACGGCGACAAAAUGAUGGAUUGCGGUGACAGCCACCACCUCACGGUGGUGGCGACGGUUUCUUUCCAUUCCCCGUUAAGCAGCAACACCCACCAGAAAGUCCUUGCUCGGAAAAGGACUCAAAAAAACCCAUCUGUGGUGAGUGGCGAUGGGAGUAGAGCAACAACCGGCAGCAGCGGCGCUUGGAAAGGAAUGGAGAAGGGAGGUGGUGGUGCGAAACCAACCGAGCAUAGCAGCAGCCUCGCAUCUAGGCUUUCCGGCGACCCACACGAUGAUCUAAGCUAUUUGCGACUUUUCCGGCGGCAGUAGGGCUGGUGGCGUUCUCAUGGCAAGCUGCGGGUGGCGGAUGAGGCCUCACAUGGCGGUGGUGGCUCACGCUUUCAGCGGCGGUCGUUCGACACUCCAUCUGGUCAAAGCACAAGAGGGAAAACCGACGAUGGCGGCUGGAGGAUGAAGAGGAGGUGGGGUGGCGGCCGAUGCAU